rnacentral:tRNA from 1 species
GCUGCUAUCGUCUAGUGGCCUAGGACACGCCCCUCUCACGGGCGUAACACGAGUUCGACUCUCGUUAGCAGCGCCA